rnacentral:rRNA from 1 species
AUUGAACGCUGGCGGAAUGCUUUACACAUGCAAGUCGAACGGCAGCACGGACUUCGGUCUGGUGGCGAGUGGCGAACGGGUGAGUAAUGUAUCGGAACGUGCCCAGUCGUGGGGGAUAACGUAGUGAAAAUUACGCUAAUACCGCAUACGAUCUAUGGAUGAAAGCGGGGGAUCGCAAGACCUCGCGCGAUUGGAGCGGCCGAUAUCAGAUUAGGUAGUUGGUGGGGUAAAAGCCCACCAAGCCAACGAUCUGUAGCUGGUCUGAGAGGACGACCAGCCACACUGGAACUGAGACACGGUCCAGACUCCUACGGGAGGCAGCAGUGGGGAAUUUUGGACAAUGGGCGAAAGCCUGAUCCAGCCAUUCCGCGUGCAGGAUGAAGGCCCCCGGGUUGUAAACUGCUUUUGUACAGAACGAAAAGGUUUCUACUAAUACUAGGAGCUCAUGACGGUACUGUAAGAAUAAGCACCGGCUAACUACGUGCCAGCAGCCGCAGUAA